UAAUAGUGUAUAUUAAGGUUGUUGCAGUUAAAAAGCUCGUAGUUGAAUGUUGGUGUCGAACGAGCGGUCAGCUUCGGCUGUACUGCUCUCUCGACUCCUUCCUUCUGUGGACUACGUCGCACUUUACUGUGUGGCGCUAGGACGCAGAUCGUUUACUGUGAAAAAAUUAGAGUGUUCAAAGCAGGCCGUACGCUUGAAUACAUUAGCAUGGAAUAAUGGAAUAGGACGUCGGGCCUAUUUUGUUGGUUCUAGGACCGUCGUAAUGAUUAAUAGGGACAGUUGGGGCCGUUUAUAUUCCGUAGUCAGAGGUGAAAUUCUUGGAUUUAAGGAAGAUAAACUACUGCGAAAGCAUUCGGCAAGGAUGUUUUCGUUAA
rnacentral:rRNA from 1 species